rnacentral:rRNA from 1 species
GAGGAAGGCUGGCGGCGUGCUUAACACAUGCAAGUCGAACGGAAAGGCCCUGCUUUUGUGGGGUGCUCGAGUGGCGAACGGGUGAGUAACACGUGAGUAACCUGCCCUUGACUUUGGGAUAACUUCAGGAAACUGGGGCUAAUACCGGAUAGGAGCUCCUGCUGCAUGGUGGGGGUUGGAAAGUUUCGGCGGUUGGGGAUGGACUCGCGGCUUAUCAGCUUGUUGGUGGGGUAGUGGCUUACCAAGGCUUUGACGGGUAGCCGGCCUGAGAGGGUGACCGGCCACAUUGGGACUGAGAUACGGCCCAGAAUCCUACGGGAGGCAGCAGUGGGGAAUAUUGCACAAUGGGCGGAAGCCUGAUGCAGCAACGCCGCGUGCGGGAUGACGGCCUUCGGGUUGUAAACCGCUUUCGCCUGUGACGAAGCGUGAGUGACGGUAAUGGGUAAAGAAGCACCGGCUAACUACGUG